GGGUUGUGAGGUUAAGCGACUAAGCGUACACGGUGGAUGCCCUGGCAGUCAGAGGCGAUGAAGGACGUGCUAAUCUGCGAUAAGCGUCGGUAAGGUGAUAUGAACCGUUAUAACCGGCGAUUUCCGAAUGGGGAAACCCAGUGUGAUUCGUCACACUAUCAUUAACUGAAUCCAUAGGUUAAUGAGGCGAACCGGGGGAACUGAAACAUCUAAGUACCCCGAGGAAAAAAAAUCAACCGAGAUUCCCCCAGUAGCGGCGAGCGAACGGGGAGGAGCCCAGAGCCUGAAUCAGUGUGUGUGUUAGUGGAAGCGUCUGGAAAGGCGCGCGAUACAGGGUGACAGCCCCGUACACAAAAAUGCACAUGCUGUGAGCUCGAUGAGUAGGGCGGGACACGUGGUAUCCUGUCUGAAUAUGGGGGGACCAUCCUCCAAGGCUAAAUACUCCUGACUGACCGAUAGUGAACCAGUACCGUGAGGGAAAGGCGAAAAGAACCCCGGCGAGGGGAGUGAAAAAGAACCUGAAACCGUGUACGUACAAGCAGUGGGAGCACGCUUAGGCGUGUGACUGCGUACCUUUUGUAUAAUGGGUCAGCGACUUAUAUUCUGUAGCAAGGUUAACCGAAUAGGGGAGCCGAAGGGAAACCGAGUCUUAACUGGGCGUUAAGUUGCAGGGUAUAGACCCGAAACCCGGUGAUCUAGCCAUGGGCAGGUUGAAGGUUGGGUAACACUAACUGGAGGACCGAACCGACUAAUGUUGAAAAAUUAGCGGAUGACUUGUGGCUGGGGGUGAAAGGCCAAUCAAACCGGGAGAUAGCUGGUUCUCCCCGAAAGCUAUUUAGGUAGCGCCUCGUGAAUUCAUCUCCGGGGGUAGAGCACUGUUUCGGCAAGGGGGUCAUCCCGACUUACCAACCCGAUGCAAACUGCGAAUACCGGAGAAUGUUAUCACGGGAGACACACGGCGGGUGCUAACGUCCGUCGUGAAGAGGGAAACAACCCAGACCGCCAGCUAAGGUCCCAAAGUCAUGGUUAAGUGGGAAACGAUGUGGGAAGGCCCAGACAGCCAGGAUGUUGGCUUAGAAGCAGCCAUCAUUUAAAGAAAGCGUAAUAGCUCACUGGUCGAGUCGGCCUGCGCGGAAGAUGUAACGGGGCUAAACCAUGCACCGAAGCUGCGGCAGCGACACUAUGUGUUGUUGGGUAGGGGAGCGUUCUGUAAGCCUGCGAAGGUGUGCUGUGAGGCAUGCUGGAGGUAUCAGAAGUGCGAAUGCUGACAUAAGUAACGAUAAAGCGGGUGAAAAGCCCGCUCGCCGGAAGACCAAGGGUUCCUGUCCAACGUUAAUCGGGGCAGGGUGAGUCGACCCCUAAGGCGAGGCCGAAAGGCGUAGUCGAUGGGAAACAGGUUAAUAUUCCUGUACUUGGUGUUACUGCGAAGGGGGGACGGAGAAGGCUAUGUUGGCCGGGCGACGGUUGUCCCGGUUUAAGCGUGUAGGCUGGUUUUCCAGGCAAAUCCGGAAAAUCAAGGCUGAGGCGUGAUGACGAGGCACUACGGUGCUGAAGCAACAAAUGCCCUGCUUCCAGGAAAAGCCUCUAAGCAUCAGGUAACAUCAAAUCGUACCCCAAACCGACACAGGUGGUCAGGUAGAGAAUACCAAGGCGCUUGAGAGAACUCGGGUGAAGGAACUAGGCAAAAUGGUGCCGUAACUUCGGGAGAAGGCACGCUGAUAUGUAGGUGAAGUCCCUCGCGGAUGGAGCUGAAAUCAGUCGAAGAUACCAGCUGGCUGCAACUGUUUAUUAAAAACACAGCACUGUGCAAACACGAAAGUGGACGUAUACGGUGUGACGCCUGCCCGGUGCCGGAAGGUUAAUUGAUGGGGUCAGCGCAAGCGAAGCUCUUGAUCGAAGCCCCGGUAAACGGCGGCCGUAACUAUAACGGUCCUAAGGUAGCGAAAUUCCUUGUCGGGUAAGUUCCGACCUGCACGAAUGGCGUAAUGAUGGCCAGGCUGUCUCCACCCGAGACUCAGUGAAAUUGAACUCGCUGUGAAGAUGCAGUGUACCCGCGGCAAGACGGAAAGACCCCGUGAACCUUUACUAUAGCUUGACACUGAACAUUGAGCCUUGAUGUGUAGGAUAGGUGGGAGGCUUUGAAGUGUGGACGCCAGUCUGCAUGGAGCCGACCUUGAAAUACCACCCUUUAAUGUUUGAUGUUCUAACGUUGACCCGUGAUCCGGGUUGCGGACAGUGUCUGGUGGGUAGUUUGACUGGGGCGGUCUCCUCCUAAAGAGUAACGGAGGAGCACGAAGGUUGGCUAAUCCUGGUCGGACAUCAGGAGGUUAGUGCAAUGGCAUAAGCCAGCUUGACUGCGAGCGUGACGGCGCGAGCAGGUGCGAAAGCAGGUCAUAGUGAUCCGGUGGUUCUGAAUGGAAGGGCCAUCGCUCAACGGAUAAAAGGUACUCCGGGGAUAACAGGCUGAUACCGCCCAAGAGUUCAUAUCGACGGCGGUGUUUGGCACCUCGAUGUCGGCUCAUCACAUCCUGGGGCUGAAGUAGGUCCCAAGGGUAUGGCUGUUCGCCAUUUAAAGUGGUACGCGAGCUGGGUUUAGAACGUCGUGAGACAGUUCGGUCCCUAUCUGCCGUGGGCGCUGGAGAACUGAGGGGGGCUGCUCCUAGUACGAGAGGACCGGAGUGGACGCAUCACUGGUGUUCGGGUUGUCAUGCCAAUGGCACUGCCCGGUAGCUAAAUGCGGAAGAGAUAAGUGCUGAAAGCAUCUAAGCACGAAACUUGCCCCGAGAUGAGUUCUCCCUGACUCCUUGAGAGUCCUGAAGGAACGUUGAAGACGACGACGUUGAUAGGCCGGGUGUGUAAGCGCAGCGAUGCGUUGAGCUAACCGGUACUAAUGAACCGUGAGGCUUAACCUUACAACGCCGAAGCUGUU
rnacentral:rRNA from 1 species